rnacentral:rRNA from 1 species
GACGAACGCUGGCGGCGUGCUUAACACAUGCAAGUCGAACGAAGAGCGAUGGAAGCUUGCUUCUAUCAAUCUUAGUGGCGAACGGGUGAGUAACGCGUAAUCAACCUGCCCUUCAGAUGGGGACAACAGUUGGAAACGACUGCUAAUACCGCAUACGAUCUAAUCUCGGCAUCGAGGAUAGAUGAAAGGUGGCCUCUACAUGUAAGCUAUCACUGAAGGAGGGGAUUGCGUCUGAUUAGCUAGUGGGAGGGGUAACGGCCCACCAAGGCGAUGAUCAGUAGCCGGUCUGAGAGGAUGAACGGCCACAUUGGGACUGAGACACGGCCCAGACUCCUACGGGAGGCAGCAGUGGGGAAUCUUCCGCAAUGGACGAAAGUCUGACGGAGCAACGCCGCGUGAGCGAUGACGGCCUUCGGGUUGUAAAGCUCUGUUAAUCGGGACGAAAGGCCUUCUUGCGAAUAGUGAGAAGGAUUGACGGUACCGGAAUAGAAAGCCACGGCUAACUACGUG